UGUGUGGGACAAAGACAAAGCAGAGAGAAAAAAGAAAGCUGAACUGUGCUGGAAAAAGACCAUGGCUCAAACAUUAGAGAGCCAGAGUCAUUUUAUCAAUAAGUACAUAGAUCUGCUCACGCAGGAUUCAGAGGAUCUGGACGCCUCAGCCUCUACAUCAGCAGAGCAUAGAUACCUAAGCAUGCUCGUAGUGACGCAGUGUUCUUAAUAAGCCAACUUGUAUUGUAUUCUCGAUAUCCAGUCAGUACAUUUAUGUCAGUAAAUGCAUGCAUCAACACUUCCUUGACUUUGCUGAGCAGUUGUCUGUUCUUUGUCCUAAAAGUUCUUGCAUAUAAUGGUGGUCUUCACAUAACAUAAGUAAAUUCCCAUCCUUAAACUCUUUAUCUUGCAUAUUCAUUUAGAGCAUUUUCUGUUGGGGUAAAUGAGUAGAGAGGAUCCUAGGCCAUUUUUAGCAAUUUCCUGGUGAUUAAAAAAAGAUGAACCCAUUUAUUCAACAUUGAUUAUUUUAACAAAUUCAGAGGUACCUUAACAUAAAAUUAAGGUUAUAGUGAACUUGUAACCAUCCGUCUCUGCUUGGUACAGCCCCAGUUCAUGUGACGGUGCUCUGGUGUGUGUGGGACCUCGUCGUUGGCGUGCCAGAGGAGGAAAGAGGAGGCAGAUGGAGAUGUGUAUCCUGUGUCACGAAGCGCAGGAGAUCCUACCUGAUGGCACCGCCAUGGUGCUCGCUGCCUUUGUCCAACGCUCUACGGUCAUGUCCAAGAUCCGCAAAAGACCCCCUCACAAUCCAGGUAAGGUUAUGGUUUACAGUGUGCAAGUCAAGUAAUUGGAUAGGUUUGAGUAGCCAGUGUGCUUAUUUCUGGAGGAUACAUGUGUGUUACAGAGAGCUAUGAUCCCCUCUUCAUGCACCCUGACCUGUCCUUUGGUACCCAUACCAGCAACUGGGGCCACAUCAUGCACUCUCUCUGCUGGCAGAGAUACUUUGAGACACUCCAGAGUCAGGAUGCGCAGUGGCUGCAUGAGCAAACCAGUUGCGAUGUAGUGAAUGGGGAGUACUUGUGUCCACUCUGUAAGUGUCGCAGUAACACUCAUUCCUCUCCUGCCCCUCACUGAGACCACCUGCAGUUACAGCAAUAGUGAGCAGCCAGGUCUGGCUCAUUGGCUGAAUGCAACGUAUAUAAGCAGAUCAGAGCCUUGCACUCUGCUCAUAAGAGAGCCAAGCCAACAAAUGCUGGUGAGACUGAGACUGUGGAGGACUCUCCUCCUCCUGAGAGUUUCAGGCUGGACCACACACCAGUCAACCCUUAUUCAAGCUCCAUAAGGGAGAUGCUGAUGACAUUUGGGACCGCAACUUAUAAAGUUGGCCUUAAGGUGCACCCUAAUGAGCAGGACCCCCGUGUGCCUAUCAUGUGCUGGGGCAGCUGUUCUUGCACCAUCCAGUCUAUAGAGAGAUUAUUGGUAGAUGAGGAGAAGCCUUGUUUGGAAGUUUACCCUGUAGACAGGUAUGACAACCCAACUUAUUGUCAUAUCUCAGCCCAGCCAGGACUCGGUUUCCCAAGAAGCAACACCCACUUCUAACAUGGCCGCUGAGGACUACACUUCCCACACACGCAUGCGCUCACCUCCCCGGAGUUCUGAUCUCACACACCUGCAGCCAAUCACCUUGUCCACUCACCACGGCUUAUUAAGAGACUUUGGUUCAGAGACACUUUGUGAAGUAAAUGUUCAGCAGACUAGUUUCUCUGUCGUUCUCCAAGCGUUACCUACCGUGUUUAUUCGAUAAGUGACUUUGGCCUCUGUCUUGCCCCGUUUGUUUUGUUUGCAUGAUCGCCUGACCCUCGCUUGCUUCUUGACUACGGACUGUGUUCACCCCUCUGGAUUAUUCUGCCUGAACCUGCCGCCCGCUUCUGCUUCUGUAUUCCCCACGGAGACUAUUUGAGUUCCCUGGCUCAGUUUGGCUCUGCAUGCUGGACUGUCUCCUCUCACUCCUCUGUGCAAAAUCACUUCAUGUGACUGUUGGCAGCACUUGUUCUUGAUCCCCAGGUGGAAAGUUCCCCUGCAUUCUGGAUGUGGACAUGUUCCACUUAGUGGUGAGCUGACAAGCUUGUUAAAUGAUACUUUAGGCACUAUUAAAUGUAUAUUAGCAUCAGAUUAAAGUAUCAUUGUUGUCCAGAAUCUAAACCUGUCUAUCUAACAGGUCAGUGUCUGUGGUUUCUUUGGCUGUAGUCUCUGAGUCAUGUGUUGUGUUUGUAUGUCGGGGGAGUCUGGUGCUGUCCUAUUCAGCAUUGCACUGCUUAGACUCCUCAGGGCUCCUCUGCAUCUCUUCCACUUGGUCAUUGUUGCUCACCUGGUCCAGAUCCUCCUCACCUCUGUGCCAGAGGAGCUGACCAUGGAGCAGGAGCGUGAAGGAGUGGAGCAGGAGCAGGAAGAGAGUGUCUGUCUUCAGUAACACAUUAAGGACUCAUGUAGGCUGCCUGCGUGAGACUAGCUCGGGUUGGCAUCUCUGGCGUUGCGUAAAGGCAGGCAUCCUGCCCUUCCUCAGAGGAGCCGCACUGUUCUUCCACCAUCUCAAUGGAGUUCCCACUUUGCCUGAGCUUGACGCUGUAGGUGCUGGGGAAUUGGGAAGUGCUGUGUGCAUAUGUCUGCCUCCUAACCUGCUCCAGCUCUAUUAUAAUCACCAGGAGCUUCUGGAUCCCCUGCUUCAGGGAUGAGAAACUUCAUAACUGAGCUGAGAAAUGACAGGUGGUGCUCACAUCCAGGCAUGCAACAAUGUCUCCAGUCACCUGAAACCCUUAAGGUGAUCAUUCUUUGUUCUUAUCUAUAGCCUUCUGAAUUUUGCGACUUUUCACCAAAGAACUGCUGCAUCUCAUCCUUCUGCUACUAAAAGAAAGCAGUUUUUAGUGUGAAAUAUGAGCUCAUUAGGUUUAAAACUAUCCUGAUGACAAAAACAUCUCAGAAUGAGAAUCACACUCAAUGACAAGCCAGCGGAAAGCAUCGAGUGAUCAACUUUACACCAAACAUAAUGGGGAGUUUCAUAUUUUUAAUAUUAAACAUUUAAAUAUUUGGAUAUUUUAACAUUUUGAAUGGUUGUAUUUUGUCUCUUCAUUAUUAAACAUACAUUGU